CCUACGGGUGGCAGCAGUGAGGGAUAUUGGUCAAUGGGGGAAACCCUGAACCAGCAACGCCGCGUGAGGGAAGACGGUUUUCGGAUUGUAAACCUCUGUCCUCUGUGAAGAUAAUGACGGUAGCAGAGGAGGAAGCUCCGGCUAACUACGUGCCAGCAGCCGCGGUAAUACGUAGGGAGCAAGCGUUGUCCGGAUUUACUGGGUGUAAAGGGUGCGUAGGCGGGCAUGCAAGCCAGAAGUGAAAUCUGGGGGCUUAACCCCCAAACUGCUUUUGGAACUGCGUGUCUUGAGUGAUGGAGAGGCAGGCGGAAUUCCCAGUGUAGCGGUGAAAUGCGUAGAUAUUGGGAGGAACACCAGUGGCGAAGGCGGCCUGCUGGACAUUAACUGACGCUGAGGCGCGAAAGCGUGGGGAGCAAACAGGAUUAGAUACCCGAGUAGUC
rnacentral:rRNA from 1 species